UACGAAGGGAGCUAGCGUUGUUCGGAAUCACUGGGCGUAAAGAGCUCGUAGGCGGUUUGUUGCGUCGGCUGUGAAAUCCCGAGGCUCAACCUCGGGUCUGCAGUCGAUACGAGCAACUAGAGUGUUGCAGGGAGACUGGAAUUCCUGGUGUAGCGGUGAAAUGCGCAGAUAUCAGGAGGAACACCGGUGGCGAAGGCGGGGGUCUCUGGGCCGGUACUGACGCUGAGACGCGAAGCGUGGGGGAGCGAACAGGAUAGAUACCCCC
rnacentral:rRNA from 1 species